rnacentral:rRNA from 1 species
UACGUAGGGUGCAAGCGUUGUCCGGAAUUAUUGGGCGUAAAGAGCUCGUAGGCGGUUUGUCGCGUCUGCUGUGAAAUCUGGGGCUCAACCCCCAGCCUGCAGUGGGUACGGGCAGACUAGAGUGCGGUAGGGGAGAUUGGAAUUCCUGGUGUAGCGGUGGAAUGCGCAGAUAUCAGGAGGAACACCGAUGGCGAAGGCAGAUCUCUGGGCCGUAACUGACGCUGAGGAGCGAAAGCAUGGGGAGCGAACAGG